UACAGAGGGGGCUAGCGUUAUUCGGAAUUAUUGGGCGUAAAGGGCGCGUAGGCGGCCAUGCGUGUCUUCCGUGAAAUCCCUCGGCUUAACUGAGGACGUGCGGAAGAAACUGCAAGGCUCGAGUCCGGGAGAGGGGGGUGGAAUUCCCAGUGUAGCGGUGAAAUGCGUAGAUAUUGGGAGGAACACCGGUGGCGAAGGCGGCCCCCUGGACCGGUACUGACGCUGAGGCGCGAAAAGCGUGGGUAGCAAACGGG
rnacentral:rRNA from 1 species